AAAUAAACAUAAUGUUCAAGCAAAGAAAACAAGAAGCAUUACUCAAUACAAAUUAUGCAUGCUCAACAGUAAUUCACCGGAUUCAUGUAAAUUAAUCCAGCCAAUUCUAAAAUUUCUUCACGCAAACUUUCUUGAUUUUUGCAAUACAAGUGUGAUAAAUUAGAUCCUCUGACUGGGGGAAUACCUUCACUUUGCUUAUAAAAUUGAUACAUCACCAAAGGGCA
rnacentral:misc_RNA from 1 species